GGAUGACACCGUUGUCACUUACAGAUAUGUCAGACCGGCCUAAGUGGACACUGAUAAUGUCUGAAAAGAUGAAUGCAUGAAUAUCUGUACCAUGAAAAGCACUGAAGUAGCCUUCCUCCUCAUCUUCCUCAGCCUGCUUCCGGGCCAGCAUGGCCUGGAUCAGGGCGCUGGUGAUGGGUGGACCAGUGGGACCAGAGCCCUCUUCAGGAUGAGGUAUGCCAGAUCUAACCUCACACCCAGAGCUGCAUACCUCCACACAGUGUAGGCCACCAUGGACACUGCCCCCACGAAGGAGGGGAUGAAGAGUAGGGCAAUGAAGAUGGUCUGCAUCUGCGCGGCCCUGCCGUAACGGCGGGGGGGCUGGCAGUUCUGAUACAGGCUCACCUGAGCGGAGGAAAGAAGACCGCUGAAGCCGAGCAUGUCGCUGGCACACGCAGCACACAGCGCGCACGUGACUGCGUUUUUUAUUUCUCAGGUGCACGUACUUAACCUUAUAAAGGUACUGUUACAAAAUGGCACUGAGUAGCACUACCUCAGUGGCAUUAUUGUUCCUGAGUACAUUGUUUUUAAAUGAGUUUUUAGAGAAGUAACAUGAGCACGGCACGCAGCUCUCCAGCCAUUGUCUUUGUAUCAGCGGAGGGUUCGCGUUACUGUCACAUGAGUUAAAGUUCCACUCACGGCCUACCUUCUUCAGAUAAAACAUGAUGAACAGCUUGAUCAUCUGUAAGACUGGUAGCAGUGGAGAGAAGUAAAUCCCAAUCCUGCAGAAAGGGAAAUGACAGAGAAAUUGGCGGAGGAUGUUAGGCUAAUGCUAAGAUUGGAAAUGUGAUAAAAUAGCUUUACAGUGAGCACAGAAAGGGAAGAAAAGGCGCACCAUGCCAGUGUCUGGGCAUAGAUCAGGUCGAGGACGUUCCUAGCGAUGUCAAAUUCUGGAACCCCCAGACUUGGCAGACACUUGGUCCCAAUGAUGCUGAGUCAAGAAAAAAAAUUUAGAAACAUUUAUUAGUGUGUUGAAUUAGCAGUUUGAAUUUCUGUAAUAAAAUAUGAAAACGUU